rnacentral:ncRNA from 2 species
CAAGCUGCAACGGGAGAGCGCGCGGUGCUGGGCAUCGCGCCACCGAAGGCGCAACGACCCGUAAACGCUCAGGCGUGGAGCCAACGGCUCCUGAAUA